rnacentral:rRNA from 1 species
GACGAACGCUGGCGGCGUGCCUAAUGCAUGCAAGUCGCACGCGGCACCUUCGGGUGCUGCGUGGCGAACGGCUGAGGAACACGUGGGGACCUGUCCGGGAGUGGGGGACAACACCGCGAAAGCGGUGCUAAUCCCGCAUACGCCCUGAGGAGGAAAGCCGAAAGGCGCUCCCGGGUGGCCCUGCGGCCCAUCAGGUUGUUGUUGGGGUAACGGCCUACCAAGCCAAUGACGUGUCGCUGGUCUGUGAUGACGACCAGCCCGACUGGGACUGGGACACGGCCCAGACUCCUACGGGAGGGAGCAGCAAGGGAUUUUCGGCAAAGGGCGCAAGCCUGACCGAGCAACGGCGCGGGCAGGAAGACGGCCUUCGGGUUGUAAACUGCUUUUGCUAGGGAUGAUAAAAGACAGUACCUGGCGAAUCAGCCCCGGCUAACUCUGUG